UACAGAGGGGGCAAGCGUUGUUCGGAAUUACUGGGCGUAAAGGGCGCGUAGGCGGCCUUCUAAGUCGAACGUGAAAUCCCCGGGCUCAACCCGGGAACUGCGUCCGAUACUGGAAGGCUUGAAUCCGGGAGAGGGAUGCGGAAUUCCAGGUGUAGCGGUGAAAUGCGUAGAUAUUGGGAGGAAUACCAGAGGCGAAGGCGGCUACCUGGACAAUUGCUGACGCUCAGGCACGAAAGCGUGGGGAGCAAAAGGG
rnacentral:rRNA from 1 species